rnacentral:rRNA from 1 species
GACAGAGGGUGCAAACGUUGUUCGGAAUUACUGGGCGUAAAGCGCGUGUAGGCCGCCCUGCAAGUCGGAUGUGAAAGCCCUGGGCUCAACCUAGGAAGUGCAUUCGAAACUGCGGGGCUGGAGUCCUGGAGAGGAAGGCGGAAUUCUCGGUGUAGAGGUGAAAUUCGUAGAUAUCGAGAGGAACACCGGUGGCGAAGGCGGCCUUCUGGACAGUGACUGACGCUGAGACGCGAAAGCGUGGGGAGCAAACAGG